GCCGAAGUGGUGAAAUUGGUAGACACGCCGUUCUAAGGGGGCGGUGGCGCAAGCCGUGCCGGUUCGAGUCCGGCCUUCGGCACCA
rnacentral:tRNA from 1 species